rnacentral:rRNA from 1 species
UACAGAGGUCUCAAGCGUUGUUCGGAUUCAUUGGGCGUAAAGGGUGCGUAGGUGGCGCGCUAAGUCAGGUGUGAAAUUUCGGAGCUCAACUCCGAAACUGCAUUUGAUACUGGCGUGCUUGAGGACUGGAGAGGAGACUGGAAUUUACGGUGUAGCAGUGAAAUGCGUAGAGAUCGUAAGGAAGACCAGUGGCGAAGGCGGGCACCUGGGCUAACACUGACGCUGGAUGCGCGAAAGCUAGGGGAGCAAACAGG